rnacentral:rRNA from 1 species
AACGAACGCUGGCGGCGUGCCUAACACAUGCAAGUCGAACGGAAUUGAGGUGCUUGCACUUCAAUUUAGUGGCGCACGGGUGAGUAACGCGUAGAUAAUCUGCCUGACGAUCUGGGAUAACACUUCGAAAGAGGUGCUAAUACCGGAUAAGCCCACGGGGUCUUUGGAUUCUGCGGGAAAAGGGGGGGACCUUCGGGCCUUCUGUCGUCAGAUGAGUCUGCGUACCAUUAGCUAGUUGGUAGGGUAAUGGCCUACCAAGGCUACGAUGGUUAGCGGGUCGGAGAGGAUGAUCAGCCACACGGGAAAUGGGACACGGUCCAGACUCCUACGGGAGGCAGCAGUGGGGAAUUUUGCGCAAUGGGCGAAAGCCUGACGCGGCAACGCCGCGUGAGUGAUGAAGGCCCUUGGGUCGUAAAGCUCUGACAGAGGGAAAGAAAUGCAGGGGAGCUAAUAUCUCCUUUGCUUGACGGUACCCUCAAAGGAAGCACCGGCUAACUCCGUGCCAGCCGCCGCCGUAACAC